UACGUAGGGGGCUAGCGUUGUCCGGAUUUAUUGGGCGUAAAGAGCGUGUAGGCGGCCCGGUAAGUCCGCUGUGAAAGUCGGGGGCUCAACCCUCGAAUGCCGGUGGAUACUGUCGGGCUAGAGUACGGAAGAGGCGAGUGGAAUUCCUGGUGUAGCGGUGAAAUGCGCAGAUAUCAGGAGGAACACCAAUGGCGAAGGCAGCUCGCUGGGACGUGACUGACGCUGAGACGCGAAAGCGUGGGGAGCAAACAGG
rnacentral:rRNA from 1 species